rnacentral:rRNA from 1 species
CCUACGGGAGACAGCAGUGGGGGAUAUUGCACAAUGGGGGGAACCCUGAUGCAGCGACGCCGCGUGCGUGAAGGAGUGCUUCGGCAUGUAAAGCCCUAUCGGCAGGGAAGAAGCAAGACGGUACCUGACUAAGAAGCCCCUGCUAACUACGUGCCAGCAGCCUCGGUAAUACGUAGGGGGCGAGCGUUAUCCGGAUUCACUGGGUGUAAAGGGAGCGUAGACGGCCAAGCAAGCCAGGGGUGAAAGCCCGGGGCCCAACCCCGGUACUGCCUUUGGAACUGCAUGGCUGGAGUGCGGGAGGGGUAGGCGGAAUGCCUGGUGUAGCGGUGAAAUGCGUAGAGAUCAGGAGGAACACCGGCUGCGAAGGCGGCUUGCUGGACCGCGACUGACGUUGAGGCUCGAAAGCGUGGGGAGCGAACAGGAUUAGAUACCCGUGUAGUC